rnacentral:rRNA from 1 species
GUCCACGCCCUAAACGAUGUGUGCUGGGCGUUGGGGGCUUGCCCCUCGGUGCCGGAGCUAACGCGGUAAGCACACCGCCUGGGGAGUACGGCCGCAAGGUUAAAACUCAAAGGAAUUGACGGGGGCCCGCACAAGCGGUGGAGCAUGUGGUUUAAUUCGACGCAACGCGCAGAACCUUACCAGCCCUUGACAUGGCGGCAAAAGCCGGGCGCGAGUCCGGGGUUCCUUCGGGAGGCCGUCACAGGUGCUGCAUGGCUGUCGU